UAGAGUGUUUAAAGCAGGCUAACGCUUGAAUACAUUAGCAUGGAAUAAUGAAAUAGGACGUUCGAUCUUAUUUUGUCGGUUUCUAGGAUUGACGUAAUGAUUAAUAGGGAUAGUUGGGGGCAUUAGUAUUCAAUUGUCAGAGGUGAAAUUCUUGGAUUUAUUGAAGACUAACUACUGCGAAAGCAUUUGCCAAGGAUGUUUUCAUUAAUCAGUGAACGAAAGUUAGGGGAUCGAAGACGAUCAGAUACCGUCGUAGUCUUAACCGUAAACUAUGCCGACUAGGGAUCGGGCGAUGUUCUUUUCUGACUCGUUCGGCGCCUUACGGGAAAC
rnacentral:rRNA from 2 species